rnacentral:rRNA from 1 species
UACGUAGGGCGCAAGCGUUGUCCGGAAUUAUUGGGCGUAAAGGGCUCGUAGGCGGCUUGUCACGUCGGGUGUGAAAGCCCGGGGCUUAACCCCGGGUCUGCAUUCGAUACGGGCAGGCUAGAGUGUGGUAGGGGAGAUCGGAAUUCCUGGUGUAGCGGUGAAAUGCGCAGAUAUCAGGAGGAACACCGGUGGCGAAGGCGGGUCUCUGGGCAGUAACUGACGCUGAGGAGCGAAAGCGUGGGGAGCGAACAGG